rnacentral:rRNA from 1 species
ACUACGGGUGGCAGCAGUGGGGAAUAUUGGGCAAUGGGCGCAAGCCUGACCCAGCAACGCCGCGUGAAGGAAGAAGGCUUUCGGGUUGUAAACUUCUUUUCUCAGGGACGAAGCAAGUGACGGUACCUGAGGAAUAAGCCACGGCUAACUACGUGCCAGCACCCGCGGUAAUACGUAGGUGGCAAGCGUUAUCCGGAUUUACUGGGUGUAAAGGGCGUGUAGGCGGGAAAGCAAGUCAGAGGUGAAAACCAUGGGCUCAACCUGUGGCCUGCAUUUGAUACUGUUUUUCUUGAGUACUGGAGAGGCAGACGGAAUUCCUGGUGUAGCGGUGAAAUGCGUAGAUAUUAGGAGGAACACCAGUGGCGAAGGCGGUCUGCUGGACAGCAACUGACGCUGAGGCGCGAAAGCGUGGGGAGCAAACAGGAUUAGAUACCCCUGUAGUC